rnacentral:piRNA from 1 species
UAUUCAGAUCCGUGAAUAGGAGUAAGUGA